AUACGGAGGAUCCGAGCGUUAUCCGGAUUUAUUGGGUUUAAAGGGUGCGCAGGCGGCCAUUUAAGUCAGCGGUUAAAUCGUGGGGCUCAACCCCAUUCUGCCGUUGAUACUGGGUGGCUUGAUUGCGGUCGAGGUUGGCGGAAUUCGUUGUGUAGCGGGUGAAUGCAUAGAUAUGACGAAGAACACCGAUUGCGUAGGCAGCUGACCAGACCGCAAAUGACGCUCAUGCACGAAAGUGCGGGGAUCGAACAGGAUUAGAUACCCUGGUAGUCCGCACAGUAAACGAUGAAUACUUGUUUUCGGCGAUAUAAUGUCGGAGGCAAAGCGAAAGCGAUAAGUAUUCCACCUGGGGAGUACGCCGGCAACGGUGAAACUCAAAUGAAUUGGCGGGG
rnacentral:rRNA from 1 species